GGGUCAGUAGGUUGGUCGUGCCACCGGUACGUACUGGACUCACUGAUUCCUCCUUCCUGAACAACCGUAAUGCCAUUAAUUUGGUGUUGCGGGGAAACAGGACUGUUACUUUGAAAAAAUUAGAGUGUUUAAAGCAAGCUAACGCUUGAAUACAUUAGCAUGGAAUAAUGAAAUAGGACGAUCGAUCCUAUUUUGUUGGUUUCUAGGAUUGACGUA
rnacentral:rRNA from 1 species